rnacentral:rRNA from 1 species
GAUGAACGCUGGCGGCGUGCCUAAGACAUGCAAGUCGAGUGGGUUUAGACCCACGGCGAACGGGUGAGUAAUACAUAGGAAUUUUCUUUAAGUCGAGGAUAUCCUCCCGAAAGGGAGUGCAAUACUCGAUGUGAACGCAAGUUUAAAGUCGCAAGACGCUUAAGGUGAAGCCUGUGCACCAUCAGCUAGUUGGUAAGGUAAAGCUUACCAAGGCUAUGACGGUUACCGGGGCCCGAGAGGGUGG